rnacentral:rRNA from 1 species
CAAUAGCGUAUAUUAAAGUUGUUGCAGUUAAAAAGCUCGUAGUUGGAUUUCUGGUAGGAGCGACCGUGCCGAACUUGAUUGUUCGAGUAUUGUGUUGUCUUCAGCCAUCCUCGUGGAGAACUUUUCUAACAUUAACUUGUUGGGAUUGGGACCCGCGUCGUUUACUGUGAAAAAAUUAGAGUGUUUAAAGCAGGCAUUAGCUUGAAUACAUUAGCAUGGAAUAAUAUGAUAGGACUUUGGUACUAUUUUGUUGGUUUGCAUACCAAAUUAAUGAUCAACAGGAACAGUUUGAGGAUAUUCGUAUGAACAUGUCAGAGGUGAAAUUCUUGGAUUUUGAUCAGACGAACUACUGCGAAAGCAUUUAUCAAGGAUGGUUUCAUUAA